rnacentral:lncRNA from 1 species
CAGGUGUGCCAGGUCAGUGCUCAGCAGCCAGUCCAGGCAGAGCUCAUGCUCAGGUACCAACAGUUGCAGUCCCGCCUUGCCACGCUCAAAAUCGAGAAUGAAGAGGUUAAGAAAACGACUGAAGCUACCUUGCAGACAAUACAAGAUAUGGUCACCAUCGAGGACUAUGAUGUUUCUGAAUGCUUCCAGCACAGUCGUUCCACAGAAUCUGUGAAGUCCACUGUCUCUGAAACCUACCUGAGUAAACCCAGCAUCGCCAAGAGAAGAGCCAACCAGCAGGAAACCGAACAGUUCUACUUCAUGAAACUCAGAGAAUAUUUGGAAGGCAGUAAUCUCAUCACAAAACUUCAAGCCAAACAUG